rnacentral:rRNA from 1 species
UGGUAGUCCACGCUGUAAACGAUGUCGAUUUGAAGGUUGUUCCCUUGAGGAGUGGCUUUCGGAGCUAACGCGUUAAAUCGACCGCCUGGGGAGUACGGCCGCAAGGUUAAAACUCAAAUGAAUUGACGGGGGCCCGCACAAGCGGUGGAGCAUGUGGUUUAAUUCGAUGCGACGCGAAGAACCUUACCUACUCUUGACAUCCAGAGAACUUAGCAGAGAUGCUUUGGUGCCUUCGGGAACUCUGAGACAGGUGCUGCAUGGCUGUCGUCAGCUCGUGUUGUGAAAUGUUGGGUUAAGUCCCGCAACGAGCGCAACCCUUAUCCUUUGUUGCCAGCGAUUCGGUCGGGAACUCAAGGAGACUGCCGGUGAUAAACCGGAGGAAGGUGGGGAUGACGUCAAGUCAUCAUGGCCCUUACGAGUAGGGCUACACACGUGCUACAAUGGCGUAUACAAAGAGAAGCGACCUCGCGAGAGCAAGCGGAACUCAUAAAGUACGUCGUAGUCCGGAUUGGAGUCUGCAACUCGACUCCAUGAAGUCGGAAUCGCUAGUAAUCGUAGAUCAGAAUGCUACGGUGAAUACGUUCCCGGGCCUUGUACACACCGCCCGUCACACCAUGGGAGUGGGUUGCAAAAGAAGUAGGUAGCUUAACCUUCGGGAGGGCGCUUACCACUUUGUGAUUCAUGACUGGGGUGAAGUCGUA